rnacentral:rRNA from 1 species
GUGAAAUGCAUAGAUAUCGGGAAGAACACCAACGGCGAAAGCACUCCGCUAGGCUGAUACUGACACUGGCAGACGAAAGCUAGGGUAGCGAAUGGGAUUAGAUACCCCAGUAGUCCUAGCCGUAAACGAUGGACACUAACUAUUGAAUGAAAACAAAUCGUACAGUGGUGAAGCUAACGCGAUAAGUGUCCCGCCUGGGGAGUAUGCUCGCAAGGGUGAAACUCAAAGGAAUUGACGGGGGCCCGCACAAGCGGUGGAGCAUGUGGUUUAAUUCGAUGCAACGCGAAGAACCUUACCAGGGCUUGACAUUUUACUUUCCUUUUUGAAAAAAAAGGUGUACUGCUUUUCGAAGUAGAGGUAUAAACAGGUGGUGCAUGGCUGUCGUCAGCUCGUGCCGUGAGGUGUCGGGUUAAGUCCUUUAACGAGCGCAACCCUUGUCUUUAGUUGAGUCUAUGUUUUAUAAACAUAGAAUCCAAACUAGAGAGACUGCCGGUGAUAAGCCGGAGGAAGGAGAGGAUGACGUCAAGUCAGCAUGCCCCUUACGUCCCGGGCUACACACGUGCUACAAUGGCCGGGACAAUGAGAUGCAACCCUGCGAAGGCAAGCUAACCUCAAAAACCCGGUCUCAGUUCGGAUUGCAGGCUGCAACUCGCCUGCAUGAAGUCGGAAUCGCUAGUAAACGUUGGUCAGCCAUACAGCGUUGAAUAUUGUUCCCGGGCCUUGUACACACCGCCCGUCACAUUCGGGGAAUUGGGUUGGUUCGAAAUCAUUAUCCUAACCUUUUAGGAGAGAGGUGCUUACAGCCGGUCUAGUGACUCAAAUGAAGUCGUAACAAGGUAACCGU